AGCUUGGUGCAGUGGCAGUAUCGUAGCCAAUGAGGUUUAUCCGAGGCGUGAUUAUUGCUAAUUGAAUGGAGAGUAGACAGGUAUAGAGGUGAGGAAAGAAUAUUCUAGGUGGAGGGAGUACUCU
rnacentral:snRNA from 1 species